GAUGUCCUACGGGGGGCAGCAGUGGGGAAUAUUGCGCAAUGGGCGAAAGCCUGAUGCAGCAACGCCGCGUGAAGGAAGAAGGGUUUCGGCUCGUAAACUUCUAUCAACAGGGACGAAAGAAAUGACGGUACCUGUCGAAUAAGCCACGGCUAACUACGUGCCAGCAGCCGCGGUAAUACGUAGGUGGCAAGCGUUGUCCGGAUUUACUGGGUGUAAAGGGCGUGUAGCCGGGCUGACAAGUCAGAUGUGAAAUCCGGGGGCUCAACCCCCGAACUGCAUUUGAAACUGUUGGUCUUGA
rnacentral:rRNA from 1 species